UUUGUUUGGCAAAUAAGUGGUUAUUUUGGUGUGAAAGAAAUAUCCAUGUCAUUGUUGUGUUGGUGCUGGCUACAAUGGUAUCUCUUAUCUAUUACUAGUGGGCAUGCUAACUCGGUCACACCGAAACACAAUCACCUUCUAAUCUUUGCAAGAUCCUGCCGAAGCUAAGAAGCAAGAUACAUGGCGUCCCAAGUCCAUGCUAUUGUUGCUACCGUGUUCGUUGACAGAUGCCGCUAGCUUUGCCACCUACAGAGGCGUCAGCGGGAAGUGGAUGUCCAGAAUGUGGAAGUGCAGCUGCCCAGUCACUCCUAGCUGGAACCUAUAGCUCAUGAAGCCUGAUGCAUCUUGGAAGGAGGCUGGAAGACCAAGGGGGAACACAUCAUAUAUACCCUUGUUCGCUGUGCAAUAUCUAUGCCAUGGCAGCAGUGACCUUUAUAGCACCUUAGUAUAUGUGGCCAGCACAGGAUUCAGAUUCGAGAGCAUCUUGUGACGCCGCCUUAAUGUUUUUUAUGUAACUAUUCGAGGAUUGUUUGCGGAAACUAACUUCCAUUGAAGUUUGUUGUUUGAUAUUUUGGUCUAUCAGUUUGAUUAGACAUUGGUUGCGGUUGUUUAUUGUAAAUUUGAAUGUCAAAUGAGUUGUGUCAUGUGGUCUCGAGUCUAUUUUGAUGUAUAUAAUCCUGCUGUGUGUUCUGGAUGUCCGAAAAAUUUGUGGAUGUCAUGCCGAAUUUUCGAGGUGAACAUCAGAGGCUUGUAUCUGAGCAGAUUCAUCCAUUUAA